UACAGAUGGCACUCACACAUACGGCGCUCGAUAAGCGAUUUUGGAGGAGCGGUGGUACUAAGUACAUAAUGAGCGAAACAGAGCCUCUUGAUGGAUCCUUUGUUGACUGCAGUUUACUCGACGGAUCUCUCCUAGAUGUGUCUACAGAAGAAACGGUAACUACAGUAACUGAUGUAACAGAACAGCACUUAACUGUCAAUCACCACCAGUGUCAAAUAUGUGAAAACGUUUAUAAACGUAAAGACAGUCUUACCAGACAUAUGAAGAUUCACCAAGAACAUGUAUUUUUUUUUUGUUCUAAAUGCACCACGUUCUUUGACAAUGAAACAGCCUUGGCUACACAUAAAAGUCAAAAGCAUGCGGACAAUUAUUUAUGUGUCCAGUGCGGGAAAUGCUAUUCGUCCAAACAAUUUAUGGAACGCCACGCAGCAACACAUGACGAUUCGUCAAAGGCUAAUCAAUGCCCUGUUUGUGACAAAAUACUUUCCGACAAAAUAAGACUAAAGGCACAUAUGAAUAUGCAUCAAGGAAUAAAGCCAUUCUCUUGUCCCACCUGCAACCGGAAGUAUAGGUGCAAGUAUGAGAAAAAUAGACACCAGCUAAUAUGCAGUGGACAAAGAAAGUUAUGAAUCGGACUGGCUAGUUAUGUGUGGUAGAGAUAGCACCAUCAAAAAUAGUCUGAUGUUGGAUUAAACAGUAGUUAAUACAGCUAGUCAUUACGUCUGAUGUCUGCUCUUAAAUCGGAAUGACUCAAUCAAUUCCUGAGAGAGCCAAACAAGAACUCAUUAAUUGAUAAAUUCAUUGAAUUAAUAAGACAUUAAAGUAGAGCGUCUUUUGAACCUAACAGACAUUUUAACAAAAUUAUAUGGUGGCUGAUAUAUGCCAUUCCGUCUUUCCGCCAAUUUUUUGCGCCGAUAUAUAACGUAAAUAUCGACUUUUCGCCCAGCGCCCUCACUAAUUAUCAUGUUUUCAAUCUGCGCUCCCGCCCUUUCUUAUUCCUAGAUUUUUCUCUAUGGAGAAAAAGCAGACCAAGGACCAAUUUAAAAUGUAAAUCGUCGGUGGAGCCGAGCGGAAACUGGCUGAUCAGCGGGCGCCGAGCAAGAAGUUGAGGUUUGGUAUGAAUCAGCCACCGUAAAAAUCUUCUAUUUGUCUGUUACUGAAUCUUAUAUCUAAUAAAACAAAUAAAAUAUUGUUCGUAACAAGUUCAACAUUUAUUAUACAUUCAGUGUAGACGUAUGGUAAGUUAAAAUUAAAAUUAAAAAAAGAAUAGAAAACUUGUCUGUCCGUUAUAAAUGAGUAAUCAAACACUUAUUCCACACCCCCACAAAAAAAUAGCGCACGCAAAAACUUGCUAAAGUGAAAACAUUGUAUGCUAAAUCAAGGAGUUUAACUGCUUAUACUGUUUAGGUUUUUAUCAGAUAUUUAAAUCCAGCUACAGAAAGUUAGAUGUUGCUUAAUUUUACAAAAUUAUUGGCAUUUAUGCAGUGUGGUGAACUUUAAUCUGUUUCUUGCCAGACCGCCCCGUAGUCUUGAUGUUAAGAUUUACAGUAUCGACUGGCUCUCUAUAUAUAUUUCGUACGGAUUGCUAUAGCAUUAUACUGGUACUCGAAAACGUUGAGAUUGAACUGAAAUAUUGUUUAAUAACGGCGUUUAACCAAACGCAUACGCACGCACAAACGCACGCAAGCACACACAUAUCUUCCUGCAAACCUUACCGUCCACUGAAUUUUCUGAGUCCUAUGAAUGUUUUGAAGAA
rnacentral:lncRNA from 1 species